rnacentral:rRNA from 1 species
UACGGGGGGGGCAAGCGUUGUUCGGAAUUACUGGGCGUAAAGGGUUCGUAGGUGGCCUACUAAGUCAUACGUGAAAUCCCUCAGCUUAACUGGGGAACUGCGUCUGAGACUGGAAGGCUUGAGUGCAGGAGAGGAACGCGGAAUUCCUGGUGUAGCGGUGAAAUGCGCAGAUAUCAGGAGGAACACCGGUGGCGAAGGCGGAUCUCUGGGCCUUACCUGACGCUGAGGCGCGAAAGCUAGGGGAGCGAACAGG